rnacentral:pre_miRNA from 1 species
CGGGGACCCACUUUUUCGUGUCAGAAUCAGAUAUAAAAAUACGAAAAAAAUAAAAAAAAUUUUAUAGGACUUGGGGGAUUUUAAUAUAUAAACUAAAUUCUAAAUUUACAAAAAAAUAUAUAGGACUUGGGGGAUUUUAAUUUUGUAAUAGUAAAUAGGAGGAAAUAGAAAUUUUUUUUACUUUUUUUCAUAUUUUUAUAUCUAAUUCUGACACGAAAAAAAAAUUUACUGUUCACUGGGUGCCGGCCAUUGAUAGGCCAACACCCAAAUUUUUUUUUUUUCCUAUUUUAUAUCUGAUUCUGACACGAAAAAAAAGAAAAAAA